rnacentral:rRNA from 1 species
UGGGGAAUCUUGGACAAUGGGGGCAACCCUGAUCCAGCCAUGCCGCGUGAGCGAUGAAGGCCUUAGGGUUGUAAAGCUCUUUCACCGGUGAAGAUAAUGACGGUAGCCGGAGAAGAAGCCCCGGCUAACUCCGUGCCAGCAGCCGCGGUAAUACGGAGGGGGCUAGCGUUGUUCGGAAUUACUGGGCGUAAAGCGCGCGUAGGCGGGCUGUUAAGUCGGGGGUGAAAUCCCGGGGCUCAACCCCGGAACUGCCCUCGAUACUGGCAGCCUAGAGAUCUGGAGAGGCGAGUGGAAUUCCGAGUGUAGAGGUGAAAUUCGUAGAUAUUCGGAGGAACACCAGUGGCGAAGGCGGCUCGCUGGCCAGAUACUGACGCUGAGGUGCGAAAGCGUGGGGAGCAAACAGGAUUAGAUACCCCCGUAGUCC